rnacentral:rRNA from 1 species
UACGUAGGGGGCAAAGCGUUGUCCGGAUUCAUUGGGCGUAAAGAGCGUGUAGGCGGCCAGGUAGGUCGGUUGUGAAAACUGGAGGCUCAACCUUCAGAGGUCGACCGAAACCAUCUGGCUAGAGUCCGGGAGAGGAGAGUGGAAUUCCUGGUGUAGCGGUGAAAUGCGCAGAUAUCAGGAAGAACACCCGUGGCGAAAGCGGCUCUCUGGAACGGUACUGACGCUGAGACGCGAAAAGCGUGGGGAGC